CGAAAAACGCUCUACAAAAACCUGAUUUAGGCAUGUACAAUCAGAGCGUAUGUAGUUUAGGGAGUAACGUAUUCGUGGGCGGAUUACGGUUCGAUGAUAAGGGUAUUUUGACCAAAAUAUGCUCAACUUGCAACCGCUGAGUGUUGGGUACCGUAUCCUGACAGACCCGGGUAUUUAAAGAGGUUGCACAAGGAAUUUCCAGAUAGCAACCCCCGACGAAACAGGAUCUUGUCUUUCCCACACAUAUUUUAGUCAAAGCAUGUAUACCGGACAAGGAAUUAAGAAUAUAACCACGCAUAAUUAUAAAGGUAUUUCGACAAAAAAACGAUUGAACUAAAGUUAAGACGAUUGAUACUGGAUCUAGAGCCUCUAUUUCGUAUCUGUUUAUCUGUUUCAUAUGCAACGCACAAAAAAUAAACAGUUGUUAAAGGUGAAUAACCUA